rnacentral:rRNA from 1 species
UACGAGUGGUGCAAGCGUUAUUCGGAAUCAUUGGGCGUACAGGGUGCGUAGGCGGUAUGUUAAGUUUGCUGUUAAAUCCUCCGGCCUAACCGGAGAUAGGCGGCGGAAACUGGCGUACUAGAGGGUGGAAGAGAGAAGUGGAAUUCUCGGUGUAGCGGUAAAAUGCGUAGAUAUCGAGAGGAACACCGAUGGCGAAGGCAGCUUCUUGGUCCAUUCCUGACGCUGAAGCACGAAAGCCAGGGGAGCAAACGGG